AGUGAACGCUGGCGGUAGGCCUAACACAUGCAAGUCGAACGGCAGCACAGUAAGAGCUUGCUCUUACGGGUGGCGAGUGGCGGACGGGUGAGGAAUACAUCGGAAUCUACUUUUUCGUGGGGGAUAACGUAGGGAAACUUACGCUAAUACCGCAUACGACCUACGGUUGAAAGCAGUGGAUCUUCGGACCUUGCGCGAUUGAAUGAGCCGAUGUCGGAUUAGCUAGUUGGCGGGGUAAAGGCCCACCAAGGCGACGAUCCGUAGCUGGUCUGAGAGGAUGAUCAGCCACACUGGAACUGAGACACGGUCCAGACUACUACGGGAGGCAGCAGUGGGGAAUAUUGGACAAUGGGCGCAAGCCUGAUCCAGCCAUACCGCGUGGGUGAAGAAGGCCUUCGGGUUGUAAAGCCCUUUUGUUGGGAAAGAAAAGCAGCAGGUUAAUACCCCGCUGUUCUGACGGUACCCAAAGAAUAAGCACCGGCUAACUUCGUG
rnacentral:rRNA from 1 species